CCUGAUCCCUUGCCGAACUCAGCAGUGAAACCGCUUCGCGCCGAUGGUAGUGUGGGGUCUCCCCAUGCGAGAGUAGGUCAUCGUCAGGC
rnacentral:rRNA from 2 species